rnacentral:rRNA from 1 species
UACAGAGGGGGCCAGCGUUAUUCGGAAUUAUUGGGCGUAAAGGGCUCGUAGGCGGCCAACUAAGUCGGAUGUGAAAUCCCCAGGCUUAACCUGGGAACUGCAUCCGAUACUGGAUGGCUUGAAUCCGGGAGAGGGAUGCAGAAUUCCAGGUGUAGCGGUGAAAUGCGUAGAUAUCUGGAGGAAUACCGGUGGCGAAGGCGGCAUCCUGGACCGGCAUUGACGCUGAGGAGCGAAAGCCAGGGGAGCAAACGGG